rnacentral:rRNA from 1 species
GAUGAACGCUGGCGGCGUGCCUAAUACAUGCAAGUCGAGCGAACAGACGAGGAGCUUGCUCCUUUGACGUUAGCGGCGGACGGGUGAGUAACACGUGGGUAACCUACCUAUAAGACUGGGAUAACUUCGGGAAACCGGAGCUAAUACCGGAUAAUAUUUCGAACCGCAUGGUUCGAUAGUGAAAGAUGGCGUUGCUAUCAGUUAUAGAUGGACCUGCGCCGUAUUGGCUAGUUGGUAAGGUAACGGCUUACCAAGGCAACUAUACGUAGACGACCUGAGGGGGGGAUCGGCCACACUGGAACUGGGACGCGGUCCAGACUCCUACGGGAGGCAGCAGUAGGGAACCGUACGCAAUGGUCGAAAGCAUGACGGAGCAACCCGGCGUGAGUGAUGACGGUCUUCGGAUCGUAAAACUCUGUUAUUAGUGAAGAACAAACGUGUACGUAACUGUGCACGUCUUGACGGUACCUAAUCAGAAAGCCACGGCUAACUACGUG